CUUUAGAUACGGGGCGUUUAUGAGAUCAUUUACGAUAGUCUGCUUCAUAGCCACUGUAAGCAGAUUACUGGGGAGGGUGAGGUGUCUAGCCGACCUCAGUGCGAACUUUGCUAGCAUGUUCAACAUGCUUCAACAAAUUCGACAGCAGAGCAUUGCUAUGUGCUGUGAUACCAAUCAUACUACUGGUGCCUUUCACGGGUGAGGGAAGUUCCAUGUGUUGGCUUAUAUUUUAUUUACAAGCUAAGCGGUAACGGUUCGCAGUUUCUCUACUCGCCGGUGAAAGAGAUACCGGCAUUUUUCAAUUGAAUUUGACAGAAUUGCGUCCUAACUCAGCAGAUACGCUAUGUAGCAUAGACGCAAUCCUGUACUGCGUGGAUUUCAUCCAAGAUGUAGACGCGUUAAGACUACUUCCUCAGUUGUUCUGCUCUUCAAUUAAGGUCUUCCAGGAGGCUAAAGUCCAAUGUUGCAUGCAACACUUGAGACCUUCCUCACAGUAGUGGCAAAUUCACACGCCCUUUGUACAGAGAGAUUUUUACUCGCGAUAGAGAGUUUAUAAAGAGCGGUAUGACUCACUAGGGUGGGGCCAAGCGACUUCGCCCAGAGAUGGAUAGGUCACACGCAAGGGGAGGAGACUAAAAGAGGGGUAUGGAGAAUCAUGAACAGGGGUAAAUGAUACAAAAAAAUAAUAAUACAAAAAACAUCCUCCAAAUGAUGGCUGGAUAACCACACAAUCCUCCCCCUCUGGAUCCUCUUCCGAAGCCACGGCUAAGUUGCUAGGACACAAAUGGGACCACACAUCUAUCAACCGGAAGUAUAACAUGGACAUUUUUGUAAUGUUUUGCUCCAACCCAGUGAAAGAGGACGAGUCAGCUCCAUUACGGUGUAACAGCUGGCCAGUGCUGCCCAAAAUACCUCAAAACUCCCACUUACUCGAAGUGAUUCCCCUUCCCCUAAUGUACUUUGCUAUAUAUUUUUACUCUUGAUAACUCUAAAUCCCGAUGAUCUGUUUACCUGUUUACGAUUUCUCUUAAAGGCUCAAUUUAUCGCGAGUAAGCUACUUCCACCGAACAAUUGUGCGCGCUUGGAAUAAAAGUUUGAAGUCUGACAAAAA